ACAGCAGCCACCACGGUAAUACAGAGGGUGCGAGCGUUAAUCGGAUUUACUGGGCGUAAAGCGUGCGUAGGCGGCUUUUUAAGUCGGAUGUGAAAUCCCUGAGCUUAACUUAGGAAUUGCAUUCGAUACUGGGAAGCUAGAGUAUGGGAGAGGAUGGUAGAAUUCCAGGUGUAGCGGUGAAAUGCGUAGAGAUCUGGAGGAAUACCGAUGGCGAAGGCAGCCAUCUGGCCUAAUACUGACGCUGAGGUACGAAAGCAUGGGGAGCAAACAGGAUUAGAUACCCGUGUAGUCCCUGUCUCUUAUAA
rnacentral:rRNA from 1 species